GUGAAAGUUCUGGGUGCGAAAAUAAGUGCCAGUCAAAUGUACUUUUAUGACAGGACAAGCAGAACUCUCUUAGCAGCGGAGUAAGCUAAAAAAAAAUAAGCCCUUAUCUGUUUUCUGUGUUUAAAUUGCUCCAUCAGUAUGGUAUUUAAGUGUCAUGACUUUUAAUGUAUUUACCAUUACAGCACCCUUAGGAUACAUGGCUGUGCUAGUCUGCCCAUUUAAAAGAUGAAGAAAUGAAGCAUAAAGAAGACUCUUUUUUCAUGGACCAGAAGUCCCCUUUCUACAGCAAGAUACUUAGCCAUAUGUACCCUUCCUAACUUUGAUCUUCCCAAGAUUUGGAUGUGCUACCUCUCUGUUUGCAGUGACCUCACCACUCACUCCUGCCACUUGCUUGUGUAUUGCUCUUUGUCUGUAAGGGUAAAGUAUUUUACCAGGAAUAUGUUUGGAGACUCUGGGUUCUGGUCCUGUGCGCUUUGAUUUCUCGGAGGAGCCUAUAUAAUCUGUGGACUCUGGACAGGUUUGCUAGAUCUAACUGUUGAACAGCACUGCUUGUUUCAACCAGGUAAUGUUUAUAAAAUAUGAUGCAAUGGUGGGAGUAGGCUCUUACUGUUAAGUUCACAGCUGAUACCGUGUGGCACUGAGUCAGUGUCCUCUGAAUAUUCCGUGCUGCUACUGCAAAUAAAUGCACCAGCUUCCGUCUUAAUAGCUUACUU
rnacentral:lncRNA from 1 species